rnacentral:rRNA from 1 species
UACGUAGGCAGCAAGCGUUGUUCGGAUUUACUGGGCGUAAAGGGUGCGUAGGCGGCUAUUUAAGUUUGGUGUGAAAUCUCCCGGCUCAACCGGGAGGGUGCGCCGAAUACUGAGUGGCUAGAGUGCGGGAGAGGAAAGUGGAAUUCCUGGUGUAGCGGUGAAAUGCGUAGAUAUCAGUCGGAACACCCAUGGCGAAGGCAGCUAUCUGGGCUAACAUUGACGCUGAGGUGCGAAAGCGUGGGGAGCGAACGGG